rnacentral:lncRNA from 1 species
GGUGCGCCCCGGGCCCGGCGCGCCCUCCGAGCGCAGCGGGCAAAGUUGCAGGAACUUGGCGACGGCGGAGCGGGCGCCUGGCUCAGCCCGGCAGAGCCGGGGGCCCGGUCGGGGUCCCGCUGCCGCCCCCGGGUCGCUGCUGCACCUCGCACAGCCGCUCCUUCGCUGGGACCCACCCCUUCCCCAGCACCUGUCUCCCCUCGUCGGCCCCCUUCGCCGUCCGCACGCCUCCCUACGCACCCCGCACCCAGCCCAGAGCAGCUGCUCCCUGCGGGCGACCCUCUGCGGCCCCUGCCCUUCUGGAAGCCUCGGCCCUGGUCCCUGACCCCAUCCGUGCCCGGCAUCACCGCCCCUGCCUUAUCUGCCCAUCCUCCCGACGCUGCGCGCCUCCCUGCUCGGUCCAGCCACACUCGGGGGAGGGGCCGCAUUCCGCGGUCACGGCCAGGGAGCCAAACCGCUGGCGUGGGGUUUGCUGUGAACUUGGUGGAUGUUCUCCACCCCUCCCCCCACCCUGGACCCGUUCUCAUCGUCAUCUCUUUGGGGGGGGGGUGGUUGGGGGGGAGGUGCUCCUUGUCCCACCUUGCCUCUAAGGCAGGGGUCCCCCUUCCAUCCUUUAAAAUCCGCAGGUCACUCGCUGGCUGGUCUGGGUGGGGGCCCCCUGCAGGCGUUUUCUCCUCCAACACAGAGCGACAGCCUCUGGCAUCGAAAUCAGACUCUUCCAGGCAUCAGCGGUGUGACCUUGGGGCAGGGGGAGCUGCCCUGGUGACCAUUUGUCCUGCGCUCCAUCUGGACCCAUGCUCUUCCUCUGUGUCCUGCGAUGAGGAGAAGAUGUCCGUGACUCCCGCGGGGAGGGACCCACCAGCCUGUCCCUCUCAGCCGCGUCAGGUCGCCGGGGGGCCCUGACCCAAAGCAGGACCAGCUGAGCUGGAGCUGCAGGGUGGAGCUGUCCGGACGCGCAGGCCGAUGGGGACGGAGGUCACGGCCAUGGCAGGACGCGGGCGGACGACGAGAGGCGGCGGGCAGUGAGGGAGGCGCGUCCCUCCCAGCACUCGCGCCGUGCGACCAUGCGGUUUGGGACAGGACGCCCCUGAGUCUGCAAGCAGCCUCCCCUCCCGCCCCUCUGUCCCUUCGGAGGCUGCAGCCCGGCCCCCCACCCAGUCCCCCCACCCCCACCCCUGGGCAGGCUGAGCGGGGU